rnacentral:snoRNA from 1 species
CUGCACCCACUCAUAGACCUUGAACAGUUUGUGGCUACUCCUCUGGUUUGUUCUAGGAUGUAAAAGAAAAUGCUCUCUGUGCUUUCUGAAUGUCUUUGUGCUCAAGGUUGAAGUGGGGGGUACAUUG